CAGGAAUGCUGAGCAGAGAACCUAAAAUCAGCAAGAGCAAGGAACGCUCAGCAAAUUUUGAAAACAAUGCCACAGCAGUUUCGCCCAAGAUGGAAACUUAAAAGGUCCACCAUGAACUUUGCUGGAGAAAAGAGUCCACUUUGAAGCUGCAAUCCAAUGAAUACACGGGUCAUUUUGAGCAUAAAACAUAAAGAGACAUGAACCAUGAAAGUUUCUUCUUCUCCAGUGAUAAAUUUUAAAAUAAAGUUGAUGCUUGAGGGAGUUUAAUGUUUGAAGAAGAAAAGAACAGUGAUCUUCAUCAGACACUCAGAAAGAAAAGCAACUCAGAGAACCAGAAGUGGAAAGGUGAAGCAAAUGGCUGAAGGUGUGACACAAAGCCAAGUGAAGUACAAUGACUGAGCACAAAGGUGGGAGCUGUCUACCAAGACAAUACGAAAAGGUUGAGAUGUUGAAUAAUCAGAAAGAAAAAAGGGAGAAGUUUCCUGGCAGGAAAAAGAAAGGGCAAAAGAGAAAGAAGAAGCACAAUAACAACGUAGACUCAUGCACACAGGAGGCAAAAAGACAUUUCCAGUGAUAGACCAUAUGGACAAAGAUAUAAACAUAAGCGCAGAUGGAUUUCUAAGGCAACAUGCAGAAACCAACCAAAAAUUACAAGAGAAGAAAUGAAUGAGGUGAAUUGUUUAAAAUCUCUACAAAACAAAAAUAAACAUUUUGAAGAGAAAAAAAAAGGGGGAGGGGUGAAGGAAAAAAAAAGAAUAACCUUUUCCAGCAUAACAAAAGCAUUCAUUUUCUAAAAAGGCCACUUUCUGAUACAAUUUUUCCCAUUCAGCCAACGUCAAACAGCUCUAGUUAUGUUUCAGGCCCCUAGGGCAAAACGUAAUCUGUGUUUGAAAUGAGAACAUCUUUGUUCAGACCUUAGGCCAACAGCAACCAAGGGAUCUAUCAGCGCUGUGGAGAAAAACGGCAGGAGGAGAACAGUGGACGAACAUUUUAAUAUCUACAGUUCUUCAUGACAACUUCAAAUAAUGCAGUGCAUUUCCUUCCAUUUCAACUGCUACAACAGCUUCUGCUGUAGGAAGGUGAGGACCAUCCACGACAUGCAGCUAUGUAGCAGAUGCAGUGCAUGGUCUGUUGAGCCCUUCAAAGAUUUUCUGGUCUUUUGCAAGCCGAUCUCUAGUUGAUCAGCCAACUCACUGCACGAGAAUGGUAUAAGCAGUUCAGAUCUAGGGGUGAAAGUCCAUAGCCAUUUGAUAAGCAGCUGACGGAAAGCCUCACCAGGCGGGACUGCCAUCAGUAUCUCUGUGCUCACUCUUUCUCCUCUGUACACUGCUCAGAACAGCAGUUUCACCAUCCCAGUUCCUUCCUGGAGCCACGCAGCACAAAAUUCCCUCUGUUCAUUAAAGCAUUCAUUCAGGAGAAUGGCUGGAAAGCCUGAGAAUGCUGUACCAUUUCAAAGCUUUGUGUCCAGGCUUU